rnacentral:rRNA from 1 species
AUUGAACGCUGGCGGCAUGCCUUACACAUGCAAGUCGAACGGCAGCACGGGUGCUUGCACCUGGUGGCGAGUGGCGAACGGGUGAGUAAUAUAUCGGAACGUACCUUAUUGUGGGGGAUAACGCAGCGAAAGCUGUGCUAAUACCGCAUAAUCCCUAAGGGGGAAAGCGGGGGACCGUAAGGCCUCGCGCAAUUAGAGCGGCCGAUACCUGAUUAGCUAGUUGGUGAGGUAAAGGCUCACCAAGGCAACGUUCAGUAGCUGGUCUGAGAGGACGAUCAGCCACCCUGGGACUGAGACACGGCCCAGACUCCUACGGGAGGCAGCAGUGGGGAAUUUUGGACAAUGGGGGCAACCCUGAUCCAGCAAUGCCGCGUGAGUGAAGAAGGCCUUCGGGUUGUAAAGCUCUUUUGUCAGGGAAGAAACUGCAGCUCUAACACAGUUUGCGAAUGACGGUACCUGAAGAAUAAGCACCGGCUAACUACGUGCCAGCCGCCGCCGUAA